rnacentral:rRNA from 1 species
UGGGGAAUAUUGCACAAUGGGCGCAAGCCUGAUGCAGCCAUGCCGCGUGUAUGAAGAAUGCCUUCGGGUUGUAAAGUACUUUCAGCGGGGAGGAAGGGAGUAAAGUUAAUACCUUUGCUCAUUGACGUUACCCGCAGAAGAAGCACCGGCUAACUCCGUGCCAGCAGCCGCGGUAAUACGGAGGGUGCAAGCGUUAAUCGGAAUUACUGGGCGUAAAGCGCACGCAGGCGGUUUGUUAAGUCAGAUGUGAAAUCCCCGGGCUCAACCUGGGAACUGCAUCUGAUACUGGCAAGCUUGAGUCUCGUAGAGGGGGGUAGAAUUCCAGGUGUAGCGGUGAAAUGCAUAGAGAUCUGGAGGAAUACCGGUGGCGAAGGCGGCCCCCUGGACGAAGACUGACGCUCAGGUGCGAAAGCGUGGGGAGCAAACAGG